UCGGGGCCGGAGGCGGUGGCAGGCUCCCGUGCCGAGAGGCUGCUUGCAGGCGGCCGGUCACCGAUAGCUCAUCUGCUUCCGACGGGACGAGAACUGGCCGUUCUCCCCGGGAUCCCUUCGAGUCACCCUGGAGACAACCCCCUGCCAGCCGAACCCGAACAAAAGCCGCGGUGCCCCUUGGCCGAGCAACAGGCCGGAGCAGGCGGCGGCGUAGGGCUCGCUUCUUGACCGGGGCUCUGGAAGGAGACGCGGGACCGAGCCAGCGAGCGCCUUGUUUACCCGACAAUCGCUCUAACCCCCGAUCUUAAUCACAGGAUGAGAAACCAAAACAGUUUAAACCGUGA